UGUACGCAAAAAACAAGGGAAACUACGAUUAGAUAGUAUACUAACUGAAUAUGUGAAUUUUAUGUGACACGAUGAGGGCGAGGAUAUAUAAGAGCGAGAGAUUGAAUUGGAAUAGGAAAGGCAACCCUGUACGCGUUUCGACCUAACAUGCAGUCUUCUUCAGCACGGGUUUUUUAAGGGGGGUGUAGAUAGAGUUUGCAGAGUGAAACUAGAAUGCAGGAGAGUUUAGGAGCACUGAACAUAUGUGAAACCAAAGAAAAUAAAUUAUUACGAAGUUAUAAUGAAUUACACAAUACAAAAAUGAAGGUUGAAAGAAAGUGAAAAGGAUGAAAUUACUGAAUAUGUUAUUAGUAAAAUUAUCCUACCAAAGGUCUUGUUG